UGCGCAGGCGGACUUUUAAGGCAGUGGUGAAAUCCCGAGGCUCAACCUCGGAACUGCCAUUGAUACUGGAAGUCUUGAAUUUGGUUGAAGUGGGCGGAAUGUAGCAUGUAGCGGUGAAAUGCUUAGAUAUGCUACAGAACACCGAUCGCGAAGGCAGCUCACUAAGCCAAUAUUGACGCUCAGGCACGAAAGCGUGGGGAGCAAACAGGAUUAGAUACCCUGGUAGUCC
rnacentral:rRNA from 1 species